UACGUAGGGUGCGAGCGUUGUCCGGAAUUAUUGGGCGUAAAGAGCUCGUAGGCGGUUUGUUGCGUCUAUCGUGAAAACCUGCAGCUUAACUGUGGGCUUGCGGUGGAUACGGGCAGACUUGAGUUCGGUAGGGGAGACUGGAAUUCCUGGUGUAGCGGUGAAAUGCGCAGAUAUCAGGAGGAACACCGGUGGCGAGGGCGGGUCUCUGGGCCGAUACUGACGCUCAGGCACGAAAGCGUGGGGAGCAAACAGG
rnacentral:rRNA from 1 species